AUUGAACGCUGGCGGCAGGCCUAACACAUGCAAGUCGAGCGGAUGAAGGGAGCUUGCUCCUGGAUUCAGCGGCGGACGGGUGAGUAAUGCCUAGGAAUCUGCCUGGUAGUGGGGGAUAACGUCCGGAAACGGGCGCUAAUACCGCAUACGUCCUGAGGGAGAAAGUGGGGGAUCUUCGGACCUCACGCUAUCAGAUGAGCCUAGGUCGGAUUAGCUAGUUGGUGGGGUAAAGGCCUACCAAGGCGACGAUCCGUAACUGGUCUGAGAGGAUGAGCAGGCACACUGGAACUGAGACACGGUCCAGACUCCUACGGGAGGCCGCAGUGGGGAAUAUUGGACAGUGGGCGAAAGCCUGAUCCAGCCAUGCCGCGUGUGUGAAGAAGGUCUUCGGAUUGUAAAGCACUUUAAGUUGGGAGGAAGGGCAGUAAGUUAAUACCUUGCUGUUUUGACGUUACCAACAGAAUAAGCACCGGCUAACUUCGUG
rnacentral:rRNA from 1 species